GAUGAACGCUAGCGGCGUGCCUAAUACAUGCAAGUCGAGCGAACGGACGAGAAGCUUGCUUUUCUGAUGUUAGCGGCGGACGGGUGAGUAACACGUGGAUAGCCUACCUAUAAGACUGGGAUAACUUCGGGAAACCGGAGCUAAUACCGGAUAAUAUUUUGAACCGCAUGGUUCAAAAGUGAAAGACGGUCUUGCUGUCACUUAUAGAUGGAUCCGCGCUGCAUUAGCUAGUUGGUAAGGUAACGGCUUACCAAGGCAACGAUGCAUAGCCGACCUGAGAGGGUGAUCGGCCACACUGGAACUGAGACACGGUCCAGACUCCUACGGGAGGCAGCAGUAGGGAAUCUUCCGCAAUGGGCGAAAGCCUGACGGAGCAACGCCGCGUGAGUGAUGAAGGUCUUCGGAUCGUAAAACUCUGUUAUUAGGGAAGAACAUAUGUGUAAGUAACUGUGCACAUCUUGACGGUACCUAAUCAGAAAGCCACGGCUAACUACGUG
rnacentral:rRNA from 1 species